rnacentral:rRNA from 1 species
GGAUGAACGCUGGCGGCGUGCCUAAUACAUGCAAGUCGAGCGAGCGGACGAGAAGCUUGCUUCUCUGAUGUUAGCGGCGGACGGGUGAGUAACACGUGGAUAACCUACCUAUAAGACUGGGAUAACUUCGGGAAACCGGAGCUAAUACCGGAUAAUAUUUUGAACCGCAUGGUUCAAAAGUGAAAGACGGUCUUGCUGUCACUUAUAGAUGGAUCCGCGCUGCAUUAGCUAGUUGGUAAGGUAACGGCUUACCAAGGCAACGAUGCAUAGCCGACCUGAGAGGGUGAUCGGCCACACUGGAACUGAGACACGGUCCAGACUCCUACGGGAGGCAGCAGUAGGGAAUCUUCCGCAAUGGGCGAAAGCCUGACGGAGCAACGCCGCGUGAGUGAUGAAGGUCUUCGGAUCGUAAAACUCUGUUAUUAGGGAAGAACAUAUGUGUAAGUAACUGUGCACAUCUUGACGGUACCUAAUCAGAAAGCCACGGCUAACUACGUG